GAUGAACGCUGGCGGCGUGCCUAAUACAUGCAAGUCGAGCGAACGGACGCGAAGUUUGCUUCUCUGAUGUUAGCGGCGGACGGGUGAGUAACACGUGGAUAACCUACCUAUAAGACUGGGAUAACUUCGGGAAACCGGAGCUAAUACCGGAUAAUAUUUUGAACCGCAUGGUUCAAAAGUGAAAGACGGUCUUGCUGUCACUUAUAGAUGGAUCCGCGCUGCAUUAGCUAGUUGGUAAGGUAACGGCUUACCAAGGCAACGAUGCAUAGCCGAACUGAGAGGGUGGUCGGCCACACUGGAACUGAGACACGGUCCAGACUCCUGAGGGAGGCAGCAGUAGGGAAUCUUACGCAAUGGGCGAAAGCCUUACGGAGCAACGCCGCGUGAGUGAUGAAGGUCUUCGGAUCGUAAAACUCUGUUAUUAGGGAAGAACAUAUGUGUAAGUAACUGUGCACAUCUUGACGGUACCUAAUCAGAAAGCCACGGCUAACUACGUG
rnacentral:rRNA from 1 species